UACGUAGGGUGCAAGCGUUAAUCGGGAUUACUGGGCGUAAAGCGCGUGUAGGCGGCUAAGUAAGUCGGGCGUGAAAUCCCACGGCUCAACCGUGGAAGUGCACUCGAAACUGCAUAGCUAGAGUCCUGGAGAGGAAGGUGGAAUGCUUGGUGUAGAGGUGAAAUUCGUAGAUAUCAAGCGGAACACCGGUGGCGAAGGCGGCCUUCUGGACAGUGACUGACGCUGAGACGCGAAAGCGUGGGGAGCAAACAGG
rnacentral:rRNA from 1 species